GCGGAAGUGGCCUAAUGGUCAGGGAGUCGGACUGAAGGUGAACCUGAAGGUGGUGGGUUCGAGUCUCGGGUCCGGCA